GGGUUUAGGCUCUGACACAUUAAACUGAUCCUGAUGUCGCUAUUAGACUGACAAACUCGACCAUCACACAGAAAACACGGAGCGACAUCAGCAAACUUCAGGGUUUCAGGGUCUGAGGAGUGAGACCUGUGAAAACCCAAACAGGUCUCUUAUCUCUGUGUCACAGGAGUUUAUGGAAAAGAUAGAAGCUGCUAACAAGAGAAACUCUAGAGGGCGCCAAAACCAGCUUCACAUCUGCACACAAACUGCACAUUUCUGAACACAACAAAAGUGAUCAUGCAGGAAGAACCUCUCAAUGUUUCUCUCUAGAACUGACUUAGUUAAUAAAAAUAAUGUGGUGACCUGUCACUGAUAUCAACAUAUGGAUUAUAUAUUAGGGUUGUCCUUAUUUUCCAUAGAGAGGUUGUUGUUGCUUCAUUUGACGACAUCUUAGUCGACCAAAUCUCACAGUGAACUGAGUGGAAACAUCGAACAGCUGUCAAAUAUUGUAAACGCUCUGAUUUCGUCAAUCAAGAGGGAGGAGUCUGUCACUGUCUGUGUUCUGAACCAAUCAGGGUGGAGAAACAAGAGAAGAAGACUGGAGGUGAAACUAAGAAAACUGUUGUGUUAAAAUAUUAGCAGACCUCUUAGCGCCUUAUUCUGUAAUUAAAGUCCUGAGAUUAACGGAGUGAAGGAGGGCUACAGAGCUUCUUUCAUUGAGUUGGACAAGAACAUCCAAUCCCAGAGAACAUCAGUGCUGGUGUAAAGGUGAGGACAAAGUUGAAGUUUAGGAAUGGAGAUAUAAACUCCUCCUUCCAUCAUGGGAAACUUCGAUUCUUCUCCCCAACAAAAACGCUGAGCUGAAGACUGAGAAAGCUCACCGUGGGCCCCCUUUCCUGAGUUUUACUGAGACCUGGUUCAAUCAGAACUUCCUGAUUCACUCUCAGAAGGUCAGACAGAGAUGAUAAAGACAGUAGAAGAAGAAGGAGGAGGUCUGGAGGAACUCUUCACUCUGUUGUCCUGAUACCGACCUGUUAGCAGCUGAUCUUCACCUUAUUAAGUUCUGAUGGAGUUCACUCAUACCAUAACUACACCUGUUCACAUGUAUUCUCCAUGAUACUGUUGCUAGGAUACAGACUCAACAUCCUGAAGCACUUUAACACCAGCAGGAGUCUUCAUCCGUGUCCUCCUCUCUGGAUUUACUCAGUUUUACUCCGAUGAAUUUCCUCUGGGGAUAAUGACAGUCCUGGUAUCUGGGAUUACGAUAAGCAGCCUCCAGAGUCAGUCCGUUAGUGUCUGAGCCGGUCUCAGCGUCUCACAGACCCACUCGGGGUUUUCUUGUUAGCAUGUAUAAUUCAGCGGGUCGUUCACCUCGCUGCCAAAACAGAGAAAUUCUCAGAUUUCCUCUCAGAUUCACCCGCUCGCUGUCGGACCAGAAGCUUUUUAGUUUUGUGGCCAAUUUCCUCCCCGAGGAGAAAAAACUGAUGAGCAGAAAGAGCUGAAGGUCAGAGCAGAAGAAAGAGUCAAAUAAUGAUUGUAUUAACAUGCAGCUGGGGAGAGACGUGCUCUUUAAAGACUCGGAGGGAGGCAGUAAUACGAACCACGACGACGACGACAGAGGCUCCUUCUUUAUUCUGCCAUCACUCACACACACACAUUAACACACAUUAACACACACUUACACACACACUCACACACACACGUUUGUAGAACAAGAGGGGAAAUGAAUUCAUGCUCUGUGAUGCACGCCGGCUUUCAGCUGCGAUCAUCAUGUAGGAGGUAACAUGAAGGAAAUGUAUUCAGGGUGAUUGUUUCACUCCAUUCUGGUUUUGAUUUACUGUCAUUUAUUUUCAUACUUAAUGGUUUAUUUCUGCGCCGCUGCUCUCCCAUUUUUUCCCGCUUUCCAAUUUGUCUUUUUAUUUGCCUCAGUGACAUUUUCAUCUGAAUAUAUCUGCGCUGCUUUCUCUCUGCCACAGACUGUCGAUACACAACAGUGAUUAAACCUGGGAGGAGUCGGCCCACACUCUCAAACCUCAUUUUACUCACUUCACUUUCCUGCCCGGAGCUUCAGCCGCAGGAACCGUCCUGCUGUUACUGAGUUAAAACCAGAGUUCAGUUACACUGUGAAAGGUCGGGGAACCAAGAGUCGGACACUAACCUGUUUUUCUGCACCGACUCACACAGGUUUAACGCUGCGUUUGAGUUACAGAGGAAGUCAGAUGUCAGAGCUGAAAAUGACGCUACAACCCAGUUGACAGCGUUCCAGAAAACAAGUCGGAAAACCAAGAUGGACGUUUACAGUUACCCGUUGUCAGCUGUCGUUUACAAUCGUCCUCAGAAGACCUCAAAGUUUCUCCUCCUGCUCACAGAAAGUCUUUCCACUUCUUUAAUAUUUAACAACUUUGCAUUUCAGCGACGUCUUCGAAUCUUCAGACGUUUCAGUCGAGAUUUAAUGAAUGUGAUUCAGUCUAACUUUAGUGAACGUUCGUUUCUGAGUAAUUAAAGUUGAUAUUAAAGUCUUAAUGUUCUGUUUUUAGAAGAAAGAUAUGAGGCUUGGUUUUAAAAACUUCAUAAUAUCAGUGUUUGCUGAAAGACUCGGGGUUAGAAACAUCAGUUUAGAGACAGAGUAGGUCGACCUUUAGAAAUAAAGUUUGAUUAACUGAUGUCAGGGAUCGAUUCAAACUCUGUUCACAUGUUCUCCUGAGUUAAAAAAGUAAGGAGCACAAAGAACUUUAGGGGAUCAAUGAAAACUGAUCACUAAUGUUUGUCUUAUUGAUCGACCUUAGUACUAUUAUUAGAAAUCAAUUUUAGGUCAAUUAGAAAACAGCCUUUUCUGAGAACAUCAACCGGUAAUUUAUUGACGGUCCCUUAUUCAACACCGACGUUGACAGUGAGGGUGUCGAGUAGAUUUAACCGCGCUGCUGUUGUUAUUCCCGGUUAUGGAGAGUGAGAAGACACCGGUAGAUCCUCAGAGAAUGUCCGUCAGAUAUCCAACCUGAAACUAACUUCACCGCCGUAUUUACAGGAAAAUAUAUCCAACCUGAAACUAACUUCACCGCCGUAUUUACAGGAAAAUAUAUCCAACCUGAAACUAACUUCACCGCCGUAUUUACAGGAAAAUAUAUCCAACCUAAAACUAACUUCACCGCCGUAUUUACAGGAAAAUAUAUCCAACCUGAAACUAACUUCACCGCCGUAUUUACAGGAAAAUAUAUCCAACCUGAAACUAACUUCACCGCCGUAUUUACAGGAAAAUAUAUCCAACCUGAAACUAACUUCACCGCCGUAUUUACAUGAAAAUAUAUCCAACCUAAAACUAACUUCACCGCCGUAUUUACAGGAAAAUAUAUCCAACCUGAAACUAACUUCACCGCCGUAUUUACAGGAAAAUAUAUCCAACCUGAAACUAACUUCACCGCCGUAUUUACAUGAAAAUAUGUCCAACCUAAAACUAACUUCACCGCCGUAUUUACAGGAAAAUAUAUCCAACCUGAAACUAACUUCACCGCCGUAUUUACAGGAAAAUAUAUCCAACCUGAAACUAACUUCACCGCCGUAUUUACAUGAAAAUAUAUCCAACCUGAAACUAACUUCACCGCCGUAUUUACAGGAAAAUAUAUCCAACCUAAAACUAACUUCACCGCCGUAUUUACAGGAAAAUAUAUCCAACCUGAAACUAACUUCACCGCUGUAUUUACAUGAAAAUAUAUCCAACCUGAAACUAACUUCACCGCCGUAUUUACAGGAAAAUAUAUCCAACCUAAAACUAACUUCACCGCCGUAUUUACAGGAAAAUAUAUCCAACCUGAAACUAACUUCACCGCCGUAUUUACAGAAAAAAACAUUUGUUGAUUUUUCAUGCGCACACGUGACCCUAAAUACAUUUUACGAUUCGCACACGUCUAUUUUUAGUCUUGAAUGUGAGUGAAACGGUCACACUGUCGAGCCCUGGACUGGCUCCUCCCCUAGCUCAGCUCUUAGUCGCACUCUUGUAUUCUGAGUCUGUUUAUUAAAACCACGCCCCUCAGCUCACGCCGCUGCUUUUCACGAUGUCUGAUGUGAGGCGGGAGGUUUGUGAGGUUUUCGAUGAGUCCUCCUCCUCUGUGAUGAAAACAAACUGUUUACUAACCUGCUCCAUUUAAAUCACUAAAUACCAAUAAAAGAGACAAAGAGAGUUCGUUCUUUGGUGAGGAUAAAUGUUCGAGAGCGUUUCGUGUUUUUGAGGUAUUUUAAAAAAACACGACCUGAGUGAAUAUUCAUUAAACACACAAUACUUCACAUUUCCUCUGAACUCUGAGCGGAGGAGCGGUGCUGCUGGUCGUCCAGGGUUAAUCUGGACACGGUUGAAUAGAUGAACAGGAUGUGCUGUGCUCAUCAGAAGGCUGUUUGCUUUAGCUGAAGUGUUUCUUUAUUAUCGGCACAAAGCCGAACAAAGAAGUAAAAAGAAACCCGAACAAUGACGGAGCAGAGGUCAAACUAACCCGGGCCGGCCGACAGAGCCGCCGAGCUCGCGGUUUUAUAAUCAUUAGGAGGUUCAGCUGGCGGGAAAAAGUGCUUCAAGGGUAGAAAACAUCAAUCUCAGUUAUUGAGGAGCUGCUUUUGUUAGUUUGGACCGAUGUCGGAAAAAAAGACAGAACGAUCAAUCCGUUUUCUGCCUUCAGUCCUUACUCAGUAAAAACAGUAAUAUUUGGUGACCCUGAGAAGCUCACAGUGAAGACGGUACGAGGAUGGACUCACCCGAAUCUUCGUUUAGAGUCAGGUUCAUAACGAACAUCUCCUCUAUUAAAAAGAUCAGGAUCUAUGAAUCUAUGAAUCUAUGGAUCUAUGAAUCUAUGAAUCUAUGAAUCUAUGAAUCCAUGAAUCUAUGGAUAUAUGAAUCUAUGGAUCUAUGAAUCCAUGAAUCUAUGAAUCUAUGAAUCUAUGAAUCUAUGAAUCCAUAAAUCUAUGAAUCUAUGAAUCUAUGAAUCUAUGAAUCCAUGAAUCUAUGAAUCCAUGAAUCCAUGGAUCUAUGAAUCUAUGAAUCUAUGAAUCCAAGAAUCUAUGAAUCUAUGGAUCUAUGAAUCUAUGAAUCUAUGAAUCCAUGAAUCUAUGAAUCUAUGGAUCUAUGAAUCUAUGAAUCUAUGAAUCCAUGAAUCUAUGAAUCCAUGAAUCUAUGGAUCUAUGAAUCUAUGAAUCUAUGAAUCCAUGAAUCUAUGGAUCUAUGAAUCUAUGAAUCCAUGAAUCUAUGAAUCUAUGAAUCCAUGAAUCUAUGGAUCUAUGAAUCUAUGAAUCUAUGAAUCCAUGAAUCUAUGAAUCUAUGAAUCCAUGAAUCUAUGGAUCUAUGAAUCUUGAAUCCAUGAAUCUAUGGAUCUAUGAAUCUAUGAAUCUAUGAAUCUAUGAAUCCAUGAAUCUAUGGAUCUAUGAAUCUAUGAAUCUAUGAAUCCAUGAAUCCAUGGAUCUAUGAAUCUAUGAAUCCAUGAAUCCAUGAAUCUAUGAAUCCAUGAAUCUAUGAAUCUAUGAAUCUAUGAAUCUAUGAAUCCAUGAAUCUAUGAAUCCAUGAAUCUAUGGAUCUAUGAAUCUAUGAAUCUAUGAAUCCAUGAAUCCAUGGAUCUAUGAAUCUAUGAAUCUAUGAAUCCAUGAAUCUAUGGAUCUAUGAAUCUAUGAAUCUAUGAAUCCAUGAAUCUAUGAAUCUAUGAAUCUAUGAAUCCAUGAAUCUAUGGAUCUAUGAAUCCAUGAAUCCAUGAAUCUAUGAAUCCAUGAAUCUAUGAAUCUGUGAAUCCUUCCAGGAGGGACAGGAGCGUCGGUGUUUAAAGGUGAAGUGUGUUUCUGAAACCCUCUUCAAUGAAGGAAGUUUGAGUCUUUACAGGUGAGUGAAACAUGCUGCUCGAGUUUUCUGUGUCCUUCAGCGUCUCCUCUCACCUCAGACUGCUCUUUCACAGAUUUACAGGGAUGAGGAAUUAUUAGUCCAAGUGCAAAUAUGUAUAAAACUUGGUCAAAUCUGACUUCUGAAGAGUUUCUGCCCUUGAAGGGAGUUUGUUUUUGUGCAGACAUCCAGGAUCUCAGCACCCAUUCAGCUGUAAGAGCCCGGCUCUGCUUUGCUCUUUUGAAGGACACUUUUACAGCAGCCACUGUGUGUGUGUGUGUGUGUGUGUGUGUGUGUGUGUGUGUGUGUGUGUGUGUGUGUGUAUUAAAACACUGUAUUCACACUGUGCCACUGAGCUCCAUGUUUCCAACCUCCAUGACCCCGCAGAGGUUCUGCAGCUCUGCAGGGCAGAGAGACGAGUAAACAACCAAACUACAAAUGCUGCUGCUGCUGCUGCUGCCUGUGUGUCAGAAACACGAGGAAGGAGACGCUCCUCAACGAGUUAGCUCCUCUGACGAGUUAGCUCCUCUGACGAGUUAGCUCCUCUGAAUUAGCUCCUCUGACGAGUUAGCUCCUCUAACGAGUUAGCUCCUCUGAA